CUUGCUGAAUUAUUCACCCUUGUCUUUUGCGUACUUCUUGUUUCCUUGGUGGGUUCGCCCACCACUAGGACAAACAUAAACCUUUUGUAAUUGCAAUCAGCGUCAGUAACAAAUUAAUAAUUACAACUUUCAACAACGGAUCUCUUGGUUCUGGCAUCGAUGAAGAACGCAGCGAAAUGCGAUAAGUAGUGUGAAUUGCAGAAUUCAGUGAAUCAUCGAAUCUUUGAACGCACAUUGCGCCCUUUGGUAUUCCAAAGGGCAUGCCUGUUCGAGCGUCAUUUGUACCCUCAAGCUUUGCUUGGUGUUGGGCGUCUUGUCUCUAGCUUUGCUGGAGACUCGCCUUAAAGUAAUUGGCAGCCGGCCUACUGGUUUCGGAGCGCAGCACAAGUCGCACUCUCUAUCAGCAAAGGUCUAGCAUCCAUUAAGCCUUUUUUUCAACUUUUGACCUCGGAUCAGGUAGGGAUACCCGCUGAACUUAAGCAUAUCAAUA
rnacentral:rRNA from 1 species